rnacentral:rRNA from 1 species
CAGGACCUACGGGGGGCAGCAGUGGGGAAUAUUGGGCAAUGGGCGCAAGCCUGACCCAGCAACGCCGCGUGAAGGAAGAAGGCUUUCGGGUUGUAAACUUCUUUUCUCAGGGACGAAGCAAGUGACGGUACCUGAGGAAUAAGCCACGGCUAACUACGUGCCAGCAGCCGCGGUAAUACGUAGGUGGCAAGCGUUAUCCGGAUUUACUGGGUGUAAAGGGUGUGUAGGCGGGAAAGCAAGUCAGAUGUUAAAACCAAGGGCUCAACCUGGGGCCUGCAUUUGAAACUGCCGUGCUGGAGUGCAGG